CGAAGGUCCCAAGCGUUAUCCGGAUUUAUUGGGUUUAAAGGGUGCGUAGGCGGCUUAUUAAGUCAGUGGUGAAAGCUCCAUGCUUAACGUGGAAAUUGCCAUUGAUACUGAUGAGCUUGAGUAGAUUUGAAGUGGGCGGAAUGUGUCGUGUAGCGGUGAAAUGCUUAGAUAUGACACAGAACACCGAUUGCGUAGGCAGCUCACUAAACUCUUACUGACGCUGAGGCACGAAAGCAUGGGGAUCAAACAGGAUUAGAUACCCUGGUAGUCCAUGCCCUAAACGAUGAUUACUCGAUGUGUGCGAUAUACUGUACGCGUCUGAGCGAAAGCAUUAAGUAAUCCACCUGGGGAGUACGGGCCGCAAGGCUG
rnacentral:rRNA from 1 species